rnacentral:rRNA from 1 species
GACGAACGCUGGCGGCACGCUUAAAACAUGCAAGUCGAACGUGAAGCCCGGGCUUGCCCGGGUGGAAAGUGGCGAACGGGUGCGUAACACGUGAGCAACCUGCCCCGAAGACCGGGAUAA